rnacentral:tRNA from 1 species
GCGCCAGUAACUCAGUUGGCAGAGUGCCGGUCUUCCAAGCCGGAUGGGCGGGUUCGAGCCCCGCUUGGCGCUCCA